AUUGAACGCUGGCGGCAGGCCUAACACAUGCAAGUCGAGCGGAUGAAGGGAGCUUGCUCCUGGAUUCAGCGGCGGACGGGUGAGUAAUGCCUAGGAAUCUGCCUGGUAGUGGGGGAUAACGUCCGGAAACGGGCGCUAAUACCGCAUACGUCCUGAGGGGGAAAGUGGGGGAUCUUCGGACCUCACGCUAUCAGAUGAGCCUAGGUCGGAUUAGCUAGUUGGUGGGGUAAAGGCCUACCAAGGCGACGAUCCGUAACUGGUCUGAGAGGAUGAUCAGUCACACUGGAACUGAGACACGGUCCAGACUCCUACGGGAGGCAGCAGUGGGGAAUAUUGGACAAUGGGCGAAAGCCUGAUCCAGCCAUGCCGCGUGUGUGAAGAAGGUCUUCGGAUUGUAAAGCACUUUAAGUUGGGAGGAAGGGCAGUAAGUUAAUGCCUUGCUGUUUUGACGUUACCAACAGAAUAAGCACCGGCUAACUUCGUG
rnacentral:rRNA from 1 species